rnacentral:rRNA from 1 species
UACGGGGGGAGCAAGCGUUGUUCGGAUUUACUGGGCGUAAAGGGCUCGUAGGUGGCCAACUAAGUCGGACGUGAAAUCCCUCAGCUUAACUGGGGAACUGCGUCCGAUACUGGAUGGCUUGAGUUUGGGAGAGGGAUGCGGAAUUCCAGGUGUAGCGGUGAAAUGCGUAGAUAUCUGGAGGAACACCGGUGGCGAAGGCGGCAUCCUGGACCAACACUGACACUGAGGAGCGAAAGCCAGGGGAGCAAACGGG